GACAGUGCCAACAGGAGCAAAGCCAGCUAUCCUCACUGCCACAAGACCCAUCACCAAAAUGAUUGUAACGCAGCCAAAAGGAAUAGGUUCUACAGUUCAACCAGCAGCUAAAAUCAUCCCAACAAAAAUUGUUUAUGGGCAGCAAGGGAAAACGCAGGUUCUUAUUAAACCCAAACCAGUGACUUUUCAAGCGACAGUUGUUAGUGAACAAACAAGACAGCUAGUAACAGAAACAUUGCAGCAGGCAUCCAGGGUAGCAGAGGCUGGUAAUUCAUCUAUUCAGGAAGGAAAAGAAGAGCCACAGAAUUAUACAGAUAGUAGUUCCUCUUCUACAGAGUCCUCCCAGAGUUCCCAAGAUUCCCAGCCUGUAGUUCAUGUAAUUGCUUCCCGGCGUCAGGAUUGGUCAGAACAUGAGAUUGCAAUGGAGACUAGCCCUACCAUAAUUUAUCAGGAUGUAUCCAGUGAAUCACAAUCAGCUACUUCAACAAUCAAAGCUCUGUUAGAACUCCAACAGACAACAGUAAAGGAAAAAUUGGAAUCUAAACCAAGACAACCCACUAUUGACCUGAGUCAAAUGGCAGUGCCUAUUCAGAUGACCCAGGAAAAGAGACAUUCUCCUGAGAGUCCAUCAAUUGCUGUGGUAGAGUCAGAACUAGUAGCUGAAUACAUCACUACUGUCAGCCAUCGCUCCCAGCCCCAACAGCCUUCCCAGCCCCAGCGGACCCUGCUCCAGCAUGUGGCUCAGUCACAGACCGCAACACAGACUUCGGUGGUGGUGAAGUCCAUCCCAGCAUCUUCCCCUGGAGCAAUCACCCACAUUAUGCAGCAGGCAUUAAGCAGUCACACUGCUUUUACCAAACACAGCGAGGAACUUGGAACUGAGGAGGGCGAGGUUGAAGAGAUGGACACUUUAGACCCUCAGACAGGUCUGUUUUACCGAUCUGCCCUGACUCAGUCACAGUCAGCUAAACAGCAGAAACUUAGCCAGCCCCCGCUGGAACAGACUCAGCUGCAAGUGAAAACUCUGCAGUGCUUCCAGACUAAACAGAAGCAGACCAUCCACCUGCAGGCAGACCAGCUCCAGCACAAACUCCCACAAAUGCCCCAGCUUUCCAUCAGGCAUCAAAAACUCACCCCUCUCCAGCAAGAACAAGCACAGCCCAAGCCAGAUGUACAGCACACACAGCAUCCCAUGGUGGCCAAAGACAGGCAGCUUCCUACCUUAAUGGCACAGCCCCCGCAAACUGUAGUACAGGUGCUUGCAGUGAAAACCACGCAGCAGCUCCCUAAACUGCAGCAGGCUCCGAACCAACCAAAAAUCUACGUGCAACCCCAAACCCCCCAGAGCCAAAUGUCGCUCCCAGCUUCGUCAGAGAAACAGACGGCAAGCCAGGUAACGGAAUAUUGAUAGCAUGCAAAGUUAAACUUCUCUGUUCACG
rnacentral:sRNA from 1 species